rnacentral:rRNA from 1 species
CCUACGGGAGGCAGCAGUGGGGAAUCUUGCGCAAUGGGCGAAAGCCUGACGCAGCCAUGCCGCGUGAAUGAUGAAGGUCUUAGGAUUGUAAAAUUCUUUCACCGGGGACGAUAAUGACGGUACCCGGAGAAGAAGCCCCGGCUAACUUCGUGCCAGCAGCCGCGGUAAUACGAAGGGGGCUAGCGUUGCUCGGAAUUACUGGGCGUAAAGGGAGCGUAGGCGGAUAGUUUAGUCAGAGGUGAAAGCCCAGGGCUCAACCUUGGAAUUGCCUUUGAUACUGGCUAUCUUGAGUGUGGGAGAGGUAUGUGGAACUCCGAGUGUAGAGGUGAAAUUCGUAGAUAUUCGGAAGAACACCAGUGGCGAAGGCGACAUACUGGCCCAUUACUGACGCUGAGGCUCGAAAGCGUGGGGAGCAAACAGGAUUAGAUACCCUGGUAGUCCACGCUGUAAACGAUGAGUGNUAGUUGUCGGCGAGCGAUGCGUCGUCGGUGACGCGAGCUACGCAUAAGACACUCCGCCGUCGGGAGGUACGGUCGCGAAGAAUUAAACGUACGAAGAAGUUAGUACGGCGUGAGACGUGCCGACGGACGACGACGAGGGAGGAGG